rnacentral:rRNA from 1 species
AUGGAUCAGGCGCCCCAGGACGUCCUCGCGGAGGUCCUCCGCCGCCUCGCGCCGCGCAGCCUGGCCGCGUGCCGCUGCGUGUGCAAGGGGUGGCGCGCCGUCGUCGACGCCAACCGCCUGCUCCGCGCGGAUCUGCUCCCGCUCACGGUCGACGGCAUCUUCUACGAGACCUGUCCCUAUAACAUACCCAUGCUUUUCUCCAGCCCCGCCACGGGCCGCAGGGUCACCGGUAAGCUCGACUACCUGGACUGGCCGCUGAACGACGUUUUCCCGAUCAUGGACUGCUGCAACGGCCUCCUCCUGAUGUGCGAUCACGUGGUCAACCCCGCCACACGGCAGUGGGUGCGUCUGCCCCCUCUGCCGCCCUCGUGCACGGCCGCAGGCUGCACACGUUGCAGCAACGAGAAUCGCUACCUCGCGUACGAUCCGGCGCUGUCGCCGCACUACGAGGUGUUCUUGAUCCCUAACAUUCCGUUCAAGCUUCCGACGGGGCAUAUCUGUAUGCACAUUUGUGAUGAUGAUGAUGAAUCGGUGUCCGCGAUGGAAUGGCCACCCUCGCCUUACAUCGUGCACGUCUUCUCCUCAAAGACCGGUUGCUGGAAGGAAAGACCCCUUCUUCGGGAAGGGGAGGCCGCGGGAACGGUUGCCGAUGUGAAAGCGGUUUAUCAUACUGUAUCAUUUUUCCUCUACGCCGCCUAUUGGAAGGACGCGCUCUAUGUUCGUUGCGAAGAGGAAUUUCUGAUGAGAAUAAACUUGUUGCAUGAUGGAAAUAAAGGAUAUACUGUGCCUCGCAUAGGAAAAUCAGAGAAGGGGGUGUAUUGUGCAUUCCGUGUCGACCGCAACACAUUUCAGAUUUGGUUCCUUGAUGAAUCGGAUGGUCAGAUGGAGUGGGCACUGAGGAAUGUCAUCGACCUUCAGCGAGUAGUGGAAAUUUAUCCUGCCAACCACGUUGAUGGUCCAUACUGGGUCGUGCAGUCGGAGGAUCAGAUGGAUCUGGUGUUGAAGAAUGGCAUCAAUCUUCGGCCUGCACAUGACAAUGACAAAGCAAUGACGGAAGGCGAUUUUGACUGGGACUCUGACAAUGAAUACGUGGUUAGCACAGAUGAUUGGGAUGACAAGGGUGGUUAUCGGGAUUAUUUUUAUUGUCUUGGAUUUCAUCCUUACAAAGAGGUUGUUUUCUUUCAUGGGGCCUUCAGAACAGUGGCCUACAAUUUUGAUAGCUGCAAAGUUCUAUACUUGGGUGAGAUGAGGUAUGGAUAUGACGAGCUACAAGAGUCCUUUUCAUACGCCUCAUGUUGGAUGAGGAACUUACCAGGAAGCAACUGA